rnacentral:rRNA from 1 species
GGUUGAUCCUGCCGGACCUGACUGCUAUCGGAUUGAUACUAAGCCAUGCGAGUCAUUGUAGCAAUACAAGGCAGACGGCUCAGUAACGCGUAGUCAACCUACCCUAUGGACGGGAAUAACCUCGGGAAACUGAGUAUAAUGCCCGAUAGAACACUAUACCUGGAAUGGUUUGUGUUUCAAAUAAUUUAUUGCCGUAGGAUGGGACUGCGGCCUAUCAGUUUGUUGGUGAGGUAAUGGCCCACCAAGACUAUUACAGGUACGGGCUCUGAGAGGAGUGGCCCGGAGAUGGGUACUGAGACACGGACCCAGGCCCUAUGGGGCGCAGCAGGCGAGAAAACUUUGCAAUGUGCGAAA